UCAUGCUACAGUUAAGUUGCACAUGAUGUGCAACCAUCCCAUGGGAUGUUUUAUGUUUUAUGUUUUAAAACAUAAAACAUCCCAUGAGAUUGGUCGCACAUCAUGUGCAACUGAACUGUAGCAUG